UACGGAGGGUGCGAGCGUUGUCCGGAAUCAUUGGGCGUAAAGGGCGCGUAGGUGGCGCGGCAAGCGUGCGGUGAAAGCUCGGGGCUCAACCCCGAGUCGGCCGUGCGAACUGCUGUGCUUGAGCACUGUAGAGGCAGGCGGAAUUCCGGGUGUAGCGGUGGAAUGCGUAGAGAUCCGGAAGAACACCGGUGGCGAAGGCGGCCUGCUGGGCAGUGGCUGACACUGAGGCGCGACAGCGUGGGGAGCAAACGGG
rnacentral:rRNA from 1 species